rnacentral:lncRNA from 1 species
CAACAUGGUUAGAGCUCUCAAGGUGGAAGUGGAAUACCAUAACAAAAUGAAGCACCCUUAUCCUACUCUUCAUUUGAUACUCAUAAAGUGGUGCAUGUUCCAAAAUCACCACCAAAUCAAUUCCAUAAUAAUAAUAUCCAGGAGAUGCUUAAAAAGAAACCAACUUUUUUAAUGGAAAAUAUAGAGGUAAUAUCAGGUCUCAGGAGGGGAUUGUUACAGAUACCAAGAUAAUAAAGCGUUUUUGGAAGUUUAAAAAUCUUGAGAUUUAUGGAAGUUAAGGAUUUUAAAACUCUUCCCUCUAGUCUUUUCACUCUUGCAUCCAUAGGUGUGUUGAGCUAUGUGCCAACAUCUGAGCAACGUGU